rnacentral:piRNA from 1 species
UGAGAAACCCAGCAGGGUAUGGAAACCUGG